rfam:Oceanobacillus picturae, S1, WGS project CCAX01000000 data, contig: 000001
GGGGACGUUACGGAUUCGACAGGGAUAGAUUGAGCUCAGGUCGCAUGUCGAGGUUACGGCUCGUAAAACGUUACUCGCCUAAAUAUAACUGGCAAAUUUAACAACAACACUGCUUUAGCAGCUGCGUAAGCACUGCUAAGCGAUCCUUCCUGCUAUCGCCCGUGUGGCAGAUUGAAGGGUCUCAACUGAAACGGGCUAUACGUUCAUCCACCGUCUGAGGAUGACCGUUGAAACCAAUCAGACUAGCUGCACAAAAGCCUGUUGGUAGGCUGAUGUGACAGUGAAUGAUAAUAUACCAACUAAGCGUGUAGAAGCCUGAGUGGCAAUGUCUCUGGACGAGGGUUCGACUCCCUCCGUCUCCACUU